rnacentral:rRNA from 1 species
AAUUAGUAUAAACGGGUAACGAGUGGAAGACUAGGAUAUUAUAUAAAGGACGUUAAAAACGAAAUGUCGUAAAAGAUAUAUCUGAUAUUCGACAAUCCUUUUGAAAAAUCAUAAUGUGGAUACCUUGAAAAUUGAAACAUCUAAAUAUCAAGGGAAUAAAAAUCAAGCGAGAUUUCGUUAGUAGUGGUGAGCGAAGGCGAAUGAGGGACCUAGGAGUUAAAUUAUCAGAUUAUAAGCCUCAUCAUUGAGUGCGCAUUUACACUAGGGGUUAAUAAUAACAACCGUUUUAUGUUAUUAAUUAAGAGCUAAUUUACAUAGCCAAAGAAGAUAACAGAUCUGUAGAGUCUUAAUAAUAACAAAGUAUAGAGUAUAAUUAUUAAAAUACAGGUGUACCACACACCUAAGACUAAAUAAUAUAAUAUACCGAUAGUAAACAAGUACUGUGAAGGAAUGUUGAAAGAGAUAUAAGUGAAAAGAGCUGGAAACUCGUUUACUUACAAGUAGACAGAAUAUUUGUUGUACCUUUUGUAUAAUGGGUUCACAAGAAAAACAUUUGGCAAACUUAAGUUUAUAAAUGUAGGGAAAGUGAAAGCGAGUUUUAAUAAAACGUGAUAAAGUCAAAUGAUCCCGAAACCAAGUGAUCUAGUCAUGGGCAGUUUGAAACAAUUCGAAAAGAGUUGUGGAGGAGCGAACCGGUGAUUGUAGCAAAAAUCUCGGAUGACCUGUGGUUGGGGGUGAAAGGCCAAUCGAACUUGGAAAUAGCUGGUUUUCUGCGAAAACUAUAUAAGUAGUGCGUCAUAUAUAUUCUAACACGGUAAGGCUCUGAAUAAAUUUAGGGAGAUAUUCUUUACUAAAUUCAAUUAAACUAUGAAUGUGUUAGAAGAAAGUUUGAUAGACAGACGUUGGCGAGAAGGUCAAUAGUCGAGGGGGAAAAAGCCCUCAUUUGAAGUUAAGGUCAUAAAGAUGGGCUAAGUGUGAAAGAGGAUUAAUUUUUAAUAUCAGAUAAUGAGUAAGUAGGCUUGGAACCAGCCAUCUUUUAAAGAUUACGUAAUAGUUCACUCAAUAAAUUUAAUAACCUCUAAAAUUAGGGUGGCUUAAGCCCAUUGGCGAUUAGAUCCAAAACUCUGAAUAUAAAUUAUGGUAGCGGAACGUACUGUAUUAAUUAGUGUAAACGAAAUCAGAAGUGAUAAUGUGAAUAUGAGUAAAAAACAAUGUUUAAAUCAUUGUUCAUGACCUAAGGUUUCCAAUUAAAGGAUGUUCCUAAUUGGGUUAAACAGCCCCUAAAAAAUAUGGGUACGUAGUCAAAUAAAUUGCGCUUAAAGCGUCAGGAAGAAAUUAUUCCACAAAGCGGGUUGUACUAAAACUGACACAAGUGGGUCGUAACGUGAUGGUAAAAUUUAUCUUAAGGAAUUCGGCAAAUUGUUCCUGUAAGUUCGCGAGAAGGGAAGUUAAUAAUUUGAAGAGACAAAAUUAUUAAUUGCAGAGAAGAGGGGGUGUCGACUGUUUACCAAAAACAUAGCUUCCAGCUAAUUUUUCAAAUAUUGGAAGUGAGGCCUGCCCAAUGGUUGUAUCUCAACCCAAGUAAUAAAUUGGUUAACUUGGUUAAGGACAAUUUAAUGGCCGCGGUAACACUGACCGUGAUAAAGUAGCGCAAUCAAUAGCCAAUUAAUUGUUGGCAAGUAUGAAUGGCUUAACGAGCGCCCCGCUGUCUCAAGAUAAAUACCAAUGAAAUUAAAUUCGUAGUGAAGAUGCUACGUACAAAUUGUAAGACGAGAAGACCCCAUUGAGCUUGACUGAAGGUUUAUAUCGUUUGGGUUUAAUUAAUGUGUAGAUUAUGUGGGGAAUUAAUAUUUAUUUAAUUUUUAUGAAAAACCACUUUUUUAAUUNAAAACAAAUUAGGUUAAUAAAUAAAACUGAGCCUCGUAUACACUAGGUGUUAAUUUUAUUAUCUUUAUAUGUAAAUCGGACAGUUUGGUUGGGGCGACCGCCUUCUAAAGAGUAACGAAGGUAAACAUAAGGCGAAUAUAAUAUAAUAAGGCCAGACAGUAAGGAGGAUUUUCCUAACUGACACGGGGUUUAAGUCCCUGCUGUGUUAUAGUGACCCGUUUGUUGAAAGUGGAAUUGUUAACGAUCAAUAGAUAAAAGUUACCAUGGGGAUAACAGAGUAAUAUCGUCUGAGAGUCCAUAUCGACGACGGAGUUUGCUACCUCGAUGUUGAAUUGUGGUAUCCUGAGGGUGCAGCCGCUCUCAAGGGUUGGACUGUUCGUCCAUUAAAACCAUACAUGAUUUGAGUUCAGACCGGCGUGAGCCAGGUCGGUUUCUAUCUACAAUUUGGUAAGGAAGCAUUAGACAUAUCUAUCUUCUAGUACGAAAGGACCGAAGUAUUUGUUGUCCUCUGGUGUUCCAAUUAAAAGUUGGGUAGUUACGACAGUAAAGUGUAAUCACUGAAAGCAUCUGAAGUGAGAAAUUUAUGUUAAUCUGUGCUUCCAAUAAGAGUGUUUGAGAUAAAAACAUUGAUAGGGCCUAGGUGAUGAGCUUAAGGCUACUAAUCAUCUUUAAUACUAGUUUAA